rnacentral:misc_RNA from 2 species
AAUCUCCCACCCCUAGCGGUUGCCGCAAGGCGCCGCCGGGCGGCGGGGUUGGUUGGGUGCCGCUGCCUGGGCUUUGGCCCAGGCUCGCCCGAAAUGCAUGAGCGCUUAGCACUCGCACCGUCUCGAGGGAAGGCGGCGGAGCUGGCAUCUGCGCAUGGCAUGAUACGUCAUUUGCUGUGUGGCAGCCCAGCGACCCGAGAGUGUGUGCGCUACUACACGCCCUUUCAU